GUGCCAGGUCAGGGCAGGUAUGACAAAAUUGAACGAUACAGAGAAGAUUAGCAUGGCCCUGACCGGGAGGAUGACACGCAAAUUCGUGAGCCACCAUCCACAUUU